CGCAUCUGUGCAUGCAGCAUAUCAAUAAGCGGAGGAAAAGAAACUAACAAGGAUUCCCUUAGUAACGGCGAGUGAAGCGGGAAGAGCUCAAAUUUGAAAUCUUCAAGGUUUUACCUUGACGAAUUGUAGUUUAAAGAAGUGUUUUCCUGUUGAAGUUUUGGUAAAAGUUCUUUGGAAUAGGACAUCAUAGAGGGUGAGAAUCCCGUAUUUGACCAUUAUUUUCAGCUGUGUGAUACACUUUCAAAGAGUCGGAUUGUUUGGGAAUGCAGUCCAAAAUGGGUGGUAAAUUUCAUCUAAAGCUAAAUAUUGGCGAGAGACCGAUAGCGAACAAGUACCGUGAGGGAAAGAUGAAAAGAACUUUGAAAAGAGAGUUAAACAGUACGUGAAAUUGUCAAAAGGGAAGCGUUUGACACCAGUGUUGUUUUCUCGAAAAUCAAUUAAAAAGAGUUUAGAUUUUGUUGUGUAUUGACCUUAACAGCUUGCAUUUCAAUUUUCUUGCUUUUUUUAAUGCACUUUUCGUUUAACAAGUCAACAUCAGUUUCUUUUGUUGUAAAAAGGUCAUUGGAAGGUGGCUUUCUUUUCGGAGAAAGUGUUUAUAGCCUUUGACUCCUGCAAUCGGAGAGACUCGAGGUCUGCAGCGUAGAUCCUUCGGGGUUAGAUACAUUUGUGCUAAGUUAUAGCUUUUUAUAGACAACUUGUUGACUAUGAUUAGUCUUGUAGCUUACUCGCUUAUGCUAUUUUACCUACGCUUAGGAUGUUGAUCUGUAGUGCGUGCGC
rnacentral:rRNA from 1 species